UACGUAGGGCGCAAGCGUUGUCCGGAAUUAUUGGGCGUAAAGGGCUCGUAGGCGGUUUGUCGCGUCGGGAGUGAAAACUCAGGGCUCAACCCUGAGCGUGCUUCCGAUACGGGCAGACUAGAGGUAUGCAGGGGAGAACGGAAUUCCUGGUGUAGCGGUGGAAUGCGCAGAUAUCAGGAGGAACACCGAUGGCGAAGGCAGAUCUCUGGGCCGUUACUGACGCUGAGGAGCGAAAGCGUGGGGAGCGAACAGG
rnacentral:rRNA from 1 species